CAAUAUUUGAUUAUAAAUGUUUUCAUUUAUGACUUGGAUUUAUUGAAGUGUUUGUCGAUUGAAUUCAAAUAAAAUUCAAUGAAUUGCAUCUUUUGCCGUGAUGGAGCUUUUAUCAGUGAAGUGAGACAUUCACAGCGAUCAAUAUUGAAUCCUUUGCAGUGUUGCUCGAUAUGGAGAAGGUCGCAAUCUAGAGACAAUGCAGUGGAUUUAUAAGAGUCGGUGCUGUUAAUUGAAAUGUCCCUGCUUUUCGGCCACAAAGACUAUUGGUGAUACAGCGGAGUACAAAAUAUGCCACAAUCCGCAGCGCUAUGAAUAUGCCAAUGAGCGCCGUGGCGUCGAUCCAGAACUCUGCCUUCUCCAUUGACAUCUCCUCGAGGAAUUUCUUCGGGCUCCUGAAGUGGCAAUACAUCUCUGAGCACUGCAUCUUCUCGCGGUCCAUUCCGUAAACGGCAAUCAUAGCACCUGUUCCCCGGCGAGAGGUAGAAAGAGACACAUUUUAUUUGACAACGUGUUAGAAAUUGUUAUUGAGGUAAUGAAAGUCGCGUGGAAUUGUUCUCGAGAGGAUGCUUUUAUGGUCAAACAGUGGGUGGAUGCAAUAAAGAUCCCCUUAACAGCUAACGGCGCCAACAAUCAUUGGGAAUACCAUUUGAAAUGUGAUUCCGAGUGACUCUCAUAUUGGAAUCAUCUAUUUAUUAUUCACGUGAAUGAGGAUUUCUAUCUCUGGAGAGGAGUGGAUUUGAUGGGAAAGUGCGAUAGCCGGGAAUGGUGUCCAGGUUGACGAAGAAGCCGGAAAAGAGUAUUGUUGGAAUAGUGGACACGGGCCCGAGGAACACUCCCAGCUCCACGCUCAGACCGGCGCCCAUCAG